rfam:Hortaea werneckii EXF-2000 unitig_173, whole genome shotgun sequence.
UUCUGCAAUGAUGACAACCAACAUACAAUUAUACAAUAUUUCUGGUACCUCUUAUGUCAGAGACGCUUGCGUCUCAAUGAUCUAUAUGGACUUCUGAAA